UCCUUUACGCCAAAAGGUCAAAUCUUUUGGUGGUGAAGUAAAAUCUUCAAGUUAGAUUGUAUAAUAGACUUUGCUUGUCUUCGCCUUGGACAAAGUAUAGUCUUCAGCUUAGACAGUGUAAUGGUCCUAGCCUCGGACAAAGUAAAGUCUUCAGCUUGGAUGGUUGUCUUCGCCUUUGCAAAAUAAAUCAUUAGCUCAAACGGUGUAAUGGUCUUCGCUUCAAAAAAAAUCUUUGGCUUAGGCGGUGUAAUGGUCUAUGUCUUAGAUAAAAUGACGUUAAAUCUUAAAACAAGAUGAAGUCAUUAGCUUAGACGGUGUAAUGGUCUUCGCUUAAGACAAAAUAAAUCUUUGGCCCAGACGCUGUAAUGUUCUAUCCCUUAGAUAAAAUGAAGUUAAAUCUUAAAACAAGAUGAAGUCAUUAGCUUAGACGGUGUAAUGGUCUUCGCUUCAGAAAAAAUAGAUCUUUGGCCCAGACGGUGUAAUGGUCUAUGCCCUAGAUAAAAUGAAGUUAAACAAGAUGAAGUCAUUAGCUCAGACGGUGUAAUGGUCUUCGCUUCAGAUAAUAAAUCUUUGGCAUAAACGAUGUGAUGUUCUUUGCCUAAGAUAAAAUAAAUCUUUAGCUUAGACUGUUAACGGUUAAUGAGUACUCAUCCCCUCACACCCCAAGAAUGACUUCUUCAUGCAUGGAUUCCCUCGUUGAGCAAGAACAUAUUUUUCUCGCUUGACCACAAAAAAAGAAAAAAGGACAACAAAGAAGAAAAACACAUGAAGAGCAAAAGAAAUUACCUUUGCAUCAAUGCUUCCGAGUCCACGAAACUAUAGUCAAAUAGCUUGCAAACAUGAGAAUUGAUACUGAACAAAGAUGUGCGCGUGUGUUUAUAUAGAGAUCUCAAGCCGCUGUUGGAGAAUUAUUUCCCGACGUGGGACUACUGGUAUUGUCAAACUCCAACAAGGAUUUAAAGUGUACGAGCUAAUAUCCUAAUUGAAGUCGGUUACCAUGAGUCGGCGUGUGUUUCAAAAGGGCGCAUUCCUAAUGAAGUAAGAAGACAUAACUUAGCAAUUGUCUACGUGGAAAGAAUUUCUUCCUUUGUAGAAAACAUAAAGUGAAAGUGUAAGUGCCUCGUUACUGCAUGUGAAUGAAGAAAGCAAAUUAAUUCUUCAUCUGAAUUUUGAACGCAAAGAAUGAAGUCGCGUGCAGAUCUUUUGAAAUCAAUGAGCACAACUGGAAAUUUCCUUUAAUUUGACAAUAAGUCAUAUUUAAGCUACAAG
rnacentral:lncRNA from 1 species